rnacentral:rRNA from 1 species
GACGAACGCUGGCGGCGUGCUUAACACAUGCAAGUCGAACAGAAAGGCCUCUUUCGGGGGGUACUCGAGUGGCGAACGGGUGAGUAACACGUGAGUAACCUGCCCUUGACUUUGGGAUAACUUCAGGAAACUGGGGCUAAUACCGGAUAGGAGCUCCUGCUGCAUGGUGGGGGUUGGAAAGUUUCGGCGGUUGGGGAUGGACUCGCGGCUUAUCAGCUUGUUGGUGGGGUAGUGGCUUACCAAGGCUUUGACGGGUAGCCGGCCUGAGAGGGUGACCGGCCACAUUGGGACUGAGAUACGGCCCAGACUCCUACGGGAGGCAGCAGGGGGGAAUAUUGCACAAGGGGUGGAAGCCUGAUGCAGCAACGCCGUGUGCGGGAGGACGGCCUUCGGGUUGUAAACCGCUUUCGCUCAUGACGAAGCUUUGUGUGACGGUAGUGGGUAAAGAAGCACCGGCUAACUACGUG